rnacentral:rRNA from 1 species
AUGCAGACACUGUUCAAGACGCUGGCCAUCACUUUCUCCACGAUAAUGCUCUUCACGGGGAUCACGCUGUUGUACGGUAGCAUCCUCCAGUACGCCGGACCGACCAGCCUCGUGUGGGGAUGGGUCAUCGUCCCCUUCUUCACCUGGUUCGUCGGCAUCGCCAUGUCGGAGAUUUCUCCUCCUUCUCUAUAA